CAGAAAACUUGCUUACUAUGCUAAUAAUCUGAAAGUCAGAUCUCUCCUAGAUCCCGUUUAAGUGCUGACUGCCACUGAGUAAGGAUGUCUUUCUGGAGAUUGCUCCUUGUGGAGUUUACUAUGAGCCUACAACACUGGUAGCCUUCACUCUCGUGCACUGAAUAACAUCUUCCAGAAGCCAGCAACAGCGUUGGAAAAAAUGUCUCUGAUCUCCAAGCAAGACAGCCAGUAAGUUCAGAGAUUCAGAACUCCUGGAGUUUUCAAUUUCUGGGUAGGUUUCCUCCCCUUGUCUUUCUCCUUUAAAUAAGAACAUUUUCCUUCCCUUUUUUCCCCCUCCUGCCUGUUGAGCUGUUCCUGUUUACGGGAUGUUAACUCAGCACAACAGGAGACUGUAAAGCACUCAACUCACAGAUAAGACAUUUCACAUUGUUGAAACUCCUUGCAAACUGAACAUCUAAUUCCUACAGCAUCCAUAAAAAAGUGUACAACAGUUCUAAACAUCAAACUGCUGCAUUCAGUCUUCUUGCUGCAUGCUUACUGGACAGACUCAGAUACAGCUGCCUACGUGAAGGCCAUGGAGGGUACAGCAAAUUGCAAGUCAUCCAACACUGACACAUGACCUAUAUUUCUCAAGAUAGCUUAAGAAUCAGCAUCCUAUCAAUAUUUUAUUCACACUUUGACAUCAGAAUUCCUCCAAUAUCAGAUUUGGUAAAUUUUGUUACAACACAGUUUUUCUUUUACUGAUCUGACUACCAAAAUGAUAAACAUCAGAUUCUGAGCCUCCAAAGUCCAUGCAGAAUUUAAAAAAAAAAAAAGAAAGUAAUGGAAAUGACUACAGUUGGUUCUAAGUUGGGCACGUUUUUAUGAUGUUUUACCAUUUUCUCAUGCUCAGGUUUGGGGCACUGACAGUGAGCAACUCCCACGUGCAAUCUCUAUUAACAGACCUGCUCUAAAAUUGCUCUACUCCAGUAACACCUGGCUCCCAGUUUCAGUAUUCAUUCCUUGCUUAUCUUGCAUUAUUACAUAUGUCUAACUAUGUUCUGUUUCCUCCUGUACUGCUUUAGAUCUGGGAUUAACUUAAUUUUGGGCACUGGCACAGGCUGCCCAGGGCAGUGGUCAUAGCACCAACAUGACAGCAUUCAAGAAGUGUCUGGACAACAUUCUUGGACAUACAUUCUAAUUUUUGCUGGUGCUGUGUGGAGCCAGAAGUUGGACUCCAUGAUCUGUUUCCAUCCCUUACAACUCAGAAUAUUCUAUGGUUCUGUGACUCCCCACCAGCGCUCACCCACUUUGUACCAUAGAUAAAUGUGGAAGAAUAAGCAUAUUUCCCUUCCCAUCGAGAAGAAGAAGAAGAUUUGGUUCAUGAUGAAGGUAUUGGAACGUCUUUGAAAAAACUGCUCUAGCUUUGCAGAACAUACAAACCCAGAAAAAAAACAAUGCUUAAAUCUUGGAUGCUUGUGGCUGAGAGAAGCUUUUCCUAGGACGCAGUCAUAUCCCUCCUAAUGCUCAUUCAGAACAGGAGAGGAGGACAUCUGGGCAAUUGUAUCAAGAGGAGCACAUGGAGGCAUCAGGUUUUAUGGCCCACAGGACACCUUCAGCUAAACACAGUGGUGGGUUUGACAGCCAUCAAACAGCUUUGGUUGGAAGGGACCUUGAAAAUUAUUAAGCUCCAACCCCCUUGCUGUGGGCAGGGUCACCACCCACCAGCCAGGGCUGCCCAGCUUGGCAUCCAGCUUGGCCUCGAAUGUCUCCAGGUGUUUGACUCAGAGAUUGUGAACUGCUCCUGAGCAGCAUUAGCAUCACACUGAAUCUCCUAACAUCAGGCAAACAUCUAACAUCUGAUUCUAGCAUCAGCAGCUGGCUGGACAUGCAGGGUAGACAGGGCAAGGGGAAAUCCAGGAUCCAAGUGACAUAUGGUCCAAUAAGUUGUUAAGUCACAUCAAUGUUAUGCAUAAACCUCAUCUUAAAAAUUAAAAAAAAUAAAAUAUAGAUUAAAAAUUACCUAUUACAGUGGUAUCUGAGCAUUACAUUCACACAGAGUUCUCACCAGGUGUUCAUUCUCUAUGCCUAGAUACUGAUGGUGAAUCUCAAAACUCAGUUCAGCUGACAAACUGUCACUUUGUUAUGGGAUAUGAGAUGGUCCAGAACACCCCAGACACAUCUGUAUGGGGCUGAGAAGACCUGUGGGGUUACCCAUGCACUUCUGGAGCCAAACAGAUCUGGGGUAUUCCAGAUGUUACUACAUACCUGUAUGUAGGUAACUGAGUCCAACACUGUCACUGUUUUAUGUAUACAGAAGAAUUAAAAAAUAUAUAUUUUAAAUUAAGAAGUACAGUUUCCAAAUAUUUUUAUUCCAAGUGGUGCAUUGAGAGCCUUGUAGGGUUUGUCUGAUGUCAGUAACAAGCUGAAAAUCUCAUUGAAGCAAAUUCCUUCUCUUGUCCCUUCAGCCAUUUGCCUGUCUUUGCUGCCUUGCCAGAUUUCAUACUCACUUGUUUGUUCUUAGCUCAGCAGAUGAAGACUAGUUUAGAAACAAAUGAAAAAGGAGUAAAAUGCAUGUGCUAAAUAAAGUAAUGUAUGUUAAUGGGCAUCCUACAAUUUCUUCCAUUUUAGCCAAAAUUGUCUCGAACAGCAAAUGAAAGGGAGAGGAUGGGAAGCAGCUGUUCCUACUCUCUGUAGCAAUUGAUUGUAAACUGGCCUGACACUUCUCCCAAAGAGUUUGUCAUGGACAUUUGAUUCAGCAAAUCUGCCUCAAACCCAGAGCUGAGGCACUGCUAUCUCAGUCCUUCACCAAAGUGACCAACCACUGGAUGUGCAGGACUAUUAAAAACAAAAAGCCAAUCAAUAGCAUAUUUCAGAUUGACAGCAACACAUUCAUUUCACCACGGGAAAGAAUCUAAACACUUAAGUAAGUGUGUAGGGUAAUGACACCCCACAUUGGCUGCCCAGGGGGUUGGCUCUAGACCUUCAUGGAUCAGGCUUCAAGCAGAGGUGAAAAGAAAAUAAAAAUCUGUCUCCUCCAUAAGAUAUUCCCCUUUAAAAUAACUCUGUUCUCUAUGUGGAGCUGCCUCGUCUGCUCAGGUAUGGCACAAGACAGGUAUAGCAGAUGCCACACACAAACUGCAGGGCAUGUGCUCAGCUAAAUGAAAGGAGAAAACAAAGAGAAAAAAAAGUAAGUUAAAAUUUAACUAACAUUUGGGUUUAAAACUGUACUCAAUCGUAAUUUGGUUUGACUGAAGGUGCAGGUCUUAAAAUGAGAUAAAAGUAGGAUCUAGUGUUAGAUUUGAAACAUAAAUUAGGGAAUUAAACAGAAAAAUAUGUUUAAAUGCAAAUAAUGAUUUUAAGGUGUAACAAUGAAGAUGUAAAGAGACAUCACUUCAGUUUGUCAGAAAAAUUGUAAUGAAAGUCAUACUUCCAUAAGGAGAACAUAAAUAAGUAAAUUAGUUUUCCCUUCUGAAAGGAAAACUAAGAACAGCAUGUCCGGAUUUUGAAGGAUGAGGAAAAAGUAAAACAGCUGAUGAUAAUACAAAAUACAGCACAAAGAGAAAAAUAGUAAAGGAAUGUAUUAUAAACUGCAUUGCCAGAAGUUGCAUAACGAACGCUGGUAUGAACAAACAGAGCUGGAAAUGCACUCCUGCUUUCCAAGAAACUUCCAGUGAGUCAGGACUGCAACAUGACAGAAAAGGAGGACUGCCUUUUCCCUCUGAAGCAGUGAGCAUUGGGAACUUUCUGUACCCUGAGAAGCACACGUGCUCCAAUAGCAUUUCAAACAAGCUCAUGUUUCGGUCAUUUUCUGUCAUCUCCAUGGAACUGAGCAAAACACUUUAACAAGAGAAAUAAGUAAUAUAUUAAGUAGAGUCUGGAAGUAUACUUAUUUUUUCCCAAUAAAUCUGAGCGUUAAUUUCAGUCACCUUUUGUUUUCCUGCAUUUUCCUGGUCUCCUUUCUCAAAUGAGAUAAGAAGGAAAGGAAAGAACCCAUGGGGAGGGAGAGGCUGUUCACCUGAACAAAUACCGGAUCAGCACUUGUCAUGUCCUGAGGUACAACCACUGUGAAAGCUAUAGGAAAACCAAAAGAAGAUUGUGGUCAGCUACCAAAUCUUUCAGCAGCUCAGUCCCCAACUGUUCUGAGAAGAGAGGAGAGUUUACCAUUGCUGGUGCAAGCAUAAAGGCUGUGUUCUCC